rnacentral:rRNA from 1 species
GAUGAACGCUGACAGAAUGCUUAACACAUGCAAGUCAACUUGAACUUCGGUUUGGGUGGCGGACGGGUGAGUAACGCGUAAAGAACUUGCCUCACAGCUAGGGACAACAUUUGGAAACGAAUGCUAAUACCUGAUAUUAUGAUUAUAUGGCAUCGUAUAAUUAUGAAAGCUAUAUGCGCUGUGAGAGAGCUUUGCGUCCCAUUAGCUAGUUGGAGAGGUAACAGCUCACCAAGGCGAUGAUGGGUAGCCGGCCUGAGAGGGUGAUCGGCCACAAGGGGACUGAGACACGGCCCUUACUCCUACGGGAGGCAGCAGUGGGUAAUAUUGGACAAUGGACCGAGAGUCUGAUCCAGCAAUUCUGUGUGCACGAUGAAGUUUUUCGGAAUGUAAAGUGCUUUCAGUUGGGAAGAAAAAAAUGACGGUACCAACAGAAGAAGUGACGGCUAAAUACGUG